rnacentral:lncRNA from 1 species
UUUCUUCUUUUGAUUUUGAAUUUUUACCUACAUAAAUUUUGUCUUAUAUUGCCCUAAUUUAUUAUUUCCUCACUUUAAUUUGCUUGAAAUUUUGUCUAAAGAGUUGAUCAGUUAUUUCAAGAUUGUUUAUAAAACUUUCCUCAGUUGAUUAUGAAGGUUGUUGUUAUCAUAUACUGUAUUCAUAAUAUAUAUAAAACAUGCAUAUAUACAUGUAUUUUAUACAUAUAUUUUAUUGUCAGGGAUCUGCUCUUGGAUAUUUCAAAUUUUGUUUGUUCUCUAAAUAUCUUAAAAGAAGAGAAUUUUCUGGAAAAAUUAUUCAAAGUCAAAUUUAAACUUUUUUGUUUAUGGGGAACUAAUUGUUCAGGACACUAUAACAUGGGUUGAUAGAGUAUUGAUGGCAUGUCGGAAAUAGUGAAACUAAGGGUGUGACAUUUUUAUGUGGUUAUUUGUACCUUUCAGACCUUCUUAGAUAUUGUCUUACUUCUGCUUGAUGGAGCUAGUGUGGUAUCCUGGACUUUAUAGAAACCAGUAAGUCCUGAUAGACUGUUUAACUG